GAAUGAACGCUGGCGGCGCGCCUAAUACAUGCAAGUCGAGCGAGAAGACGUAGCAAUACGUUUGUAAAGCGGCGAACGGGUGAGGAAUACAUGGGUAACCUACCCUCGAGUGGGGAAUAACUAGCCGAAAGGUUAGCUAAUACCGCGUACGCUUCUUGGACUUCGGUUCAGGGAGGAAAGCGAUACCGUGGGUAUCGCGCUCUUGGAUGGGCUCAUGUCCUAUCAGCUUGUUGGUGAGGUAACGGCUCACCAAGGCUUCGACGGGUAGCUGGUCUGAGAGGACGAUCAGCCACACUGGCACUGCGACACGGGCCAGACUCCUACGGGAGGCAGCAGUAAGGAAUAUUGCGCAAUGGGCGAAAGCCUGACGCAGCGACGCCGCGUGGGGGAUGAAGGUCUUCGGAUUGUAAACCCCUUUC
rnacentral:rRNA from 1 species